rnacentral:rRNA from 1 species
AGCUGAAACUUAAAGGAAUUGACGGAAGCGCACACAAGAAAUGGGGCCUGCGGCUUAAUUUGACUCAACACGGUGCAACUCACCCGGCCCGGACACAGGAAGGAUUGACAGAUUAAGAGCUCUUUCUUGAUUCUGUGACAGGUGGUGCAUGGCCGUUUCUAGUUGGUGGAGUGAUUUGUCUGCUUUAUUGCGAUAACGAGCGAGACUCUAGCCUACUAAAUAGACUGGCGAUCCUGUUACAGUGGCCAGGUCUUCUUAGAGGGACAAGCGGUGUUCAGCCGCACGAAACUGAGCAAAAACAGGUCAGGAUGCCCUUAGAUGUUCGGGGCCGCACGCGCGCCACAUUGAAGGAAUCAGCGUGUGCUUUCCCUCUCCGAUAGGAGUGGGUAACCCGUUGAAACUCCUUCGUGCUAGGGAUAGGAAAUUGUAAUUGUUUUCCUUGAACGAGGAAUUCCCAGUAAGCAUUGAGUCAUCAGCUCGUGUUGAUUACGUCCCUGCGCUUUGUGCACACCGCCCGUCGCUAUUAUCGAUGAAUUUUGGAGUGAGAUCAUCGGACUGGCUAAGGUUCUGUGCUUCUAUGGUGUGGAGCCUGUGUUGGAAAGAUGACCGAACUUGAAUAUUAGAG